ACGGAGUGAAUGCCUUUGCACCAGUUGAAAAGGACGUUGAAAUACGAAAAGCUGUUUUAGAAGAAAAAGCAGAUCUCCUUCAGGAAACAAAUAGUCAAAAACAAUCUAAAAUGGGAAACCUCCUUUAUUAGAUAAAAAACCAACAGGGAAACCCAUAGUAAUGGUGAAUGAACUGGGAAUUUUAUGAAUUUUUUCUCUUGAACACCCUUGUGUGUUUUUAUUUGGUAAUAGAAUUCGAGAAUUUGUGUUUUAGAAUAAAAAAAUUAUUCUAUGAA
rnacentral:rRNA from 1 species